rnacentral:rRNA from 1 species
CCUACGGGAGGCAGCAGUGGGGAAUAUUGCGCAAUGGGCGAAAGCCUGACGCAGCGACGCAGCGUGAGGGACGAAGGCCUUCGGGUUGUAAACCUCUUUCAGCGGGGACGAAGCGAAAGUGACGGUACCCGCAGAAGAAGCACCGGCUAACUACGUGCCAGCAGCCGCGGUAAUACGUAGGGUGCAAGCAUUGUCCGGAUUUAUUGGGCGUAAAGAGCUCGUAGGCGGCUUGUCACGUCGGAUGUGAAAACUCGGGGCUCAACCCCGAGCCUGCAUUCGAUACGGGCUAGCUAGAGUGUUGCAGGGGAGACUGGAAUUCCUGGUGUAGCGGUGAAAUGCGCAGAUAUCAGGAGGAACACCGGUGGCGAAGGCGGGUCUCUGGGCAACUACUGACGCUGAGGAGCGAAAGCGUGGGGAGCGAACAGGAUUAGAUACCCUGGUAGUCCACGCCGUAAACGGUGGGCGCUAGGUGUGGGGAACCUUCCACGUUCUCUGUGCCGUAGCUAACGCAUUAAGCGCCCCGCCUGGGGAGUACGGCCGCAAGGCUAAAACUCAAAUAAGUAGUGUUAGGCGUGAGAGUGCCGACGGCGACGACGAGGGAGGAGG